GCCAGCAGGGUGCGCGAUAGCAGAAGCAGGAAGAGAGCCGGGGGAAGACACCUACCCUGGCCGGAAGACACGAAGAUCCAGAAAAAGGCCAUCCGGGUACAACGUAGCAGUUACAUCGGACUGUGACACUUACUGUUUACAGGAGACUAUAAAACUUUGCCCAGUCGUCACUUGGGGCCCGCCUGCACCCAGGCCGUCAUUAAAACAGCAUGUUGCUCCACACCGCCUCGUGUUGUCUGUUGGUGUGCUCUCAGGGUGGAAACGAUACAAGAACGUUACACUUACAGGCUUUAGUUUAUAUUAUUCUCAUAGAAGACUUCCUCAUAAUCCAAUUUAAAAAAUGAGAGUUUCCCUGCACAAGCUCUUGCUUUGCCUGAUGCCAUCCAUGUAAGACGUGACUUGCUCCUCCUUGCCUUCUACCAUGAUUGUGAGACUUCCCCAGCCACGUGGAACUAUUAUGCUCCAAGACACUGAAUCUGAAAGGAUGCAUCCAGUCUUGCCAAGUGGUUUCACUACCAAGGCCAGUCUCCAUCUAUGAUAGACCCAAGGAAGAUCAUUUACAACUAGAAUCUAGUCAUUUAGGAGAUUGUGUGCUCCCUGGAUGGGCCAUCUGCACUGGUGUGAGGUUUAUCUCAUUGAAGGGAAAACCAAAGGAAUCUUCUUGAAUAUCAGCACCAGGAAGAGCAGUACAAACUGGAGAAGCUGGGAGCCUCACAUCAGUGUCAGAAAGCUAGUUGACAUGGAAGCCUGAAAAAUGCAGCUUGCCAGGAUGCCUCCUCCCUUCCACUCCUCUCUUCAAUUCAGAGGGGAGAAGUGAGAAGGUCAUUGUUGAGAGACAAAAUGAGAUCAUGUCUGGGAAAAUACUUCUAAAUUAUCAACUCCCUUUCUAUGGAAGAGGAUGACCAAAGAAGGAUGCACUCCUUGUCUGGAAUUAUGCCAGAGGUCUUAAAAUGCUCAGAAAUGAAAUCAGCCUUCUUCCCUGUCCUAAGAGGCUCAGGUUUUCGGCAAGUAACUCAUAAAAUUAAUGCUCCACUGAAAAUAAAAUCUGAUUUGAGUAGUAUCAGCACUUAGAAGACCUUUGGAGGCCGGGGGUAUUUUCUCUUUUACAAUGCUGUGAACAACAUUCACUCCUGGAAAACACUCCAAUGUCUUACAUCUUGAGGCUGUGGGGAUUUUUUUUUCUUUUGGUUUAAAUGUUGCCUUUCCUAUCUUUCUGCAUAUCAAUUUUUCCCCUGCCCAAGUCACAGGCUUGGUAGUAACCAUCAUGUUUACUGCUGUUCCUUCACAUGUGGUUCUCUGAGGCUUCUGAGCACCAGAAUUUUAUUAAACAGAGCUACUCACACCAUAAAGAUGGAAUUCUGCCAGAUCUGAAUCAUAGAAUAACACCAGAAUUGACUUCAGAAAUCAUCUUCUCUAAAGAUUUGCAAGAUUUUUAAACAGCACAUGCCUUUGUAAAAUGAAAUCAUCAGUGGAACACCGUAUAUAAAAUAAAAUUAAUAAAAACUACUAUGGCUGGAGAGGUGAAACUCUAACAUAUUACACAGUCUCCUGGGUUUUUUUGCAGAUAUUAAGGAUCCACUGAACCAUUUGAAAACUACCCUAUAUACUCCCCCUUUCCAGUGCUUCAGUCCCUUCUAUAGUAAUCACCACUGGAUUGUUCAGUCUUUCAAUAUUUUCAGUGGUGCCUAUCCUCCCAAGAAAGGCCAUCUUAAUUUGGGACAGCUUUAACUGUCUAUUUGGAAAAUCAUUCUUAUAUUUUAAUGGUCUCCUUGUAACCUCUAUUUAUUGUUACUAGAACAGAACUAGACUGUGCUCUAUUCCAUCUAAGUAUUGGGGUCAAUGAUCAUAUUCCUCCACAAACUUAUAGUUUUUUUACAAACUAAAUAUCCCCUGAUUUUUUCAACUUUAUCACAGUGUGAGAAUAUGUGGGCCUAAUCUCUUUAUUCUAAUUUCUUUCCUUUGAACUUGCUUCACUUUGUCAAUGUCAGUUUUAAUUUGUGUGCCUAGAACUGUAAAAAGUAAUCCCUAUGUUGACUGUAAUCAUCAACUCUUUCACUUUGAACAUUCUACCCCUGUUAAUUUGGCCUAUAAUUGAAUUUGAUUUGGGGAAAACUUGUCGGAGCUUAGCCAACUAAAUCCCCAAUAUCAUCCUUGAAUAUGCUACUGCAGAACCAAAUCUCCCAUAUUACAAACUUUUAAAAUUGUUUUAAUGACUUCAUGUGGUCAUUUUCCUUUGCCAUGGCUUUUAAAGUCACAUGGUUCUAUUAGAAAGAUUUCUAGGUCUCUUGUCAUUUCUAGAAUCUGGUUUGUUGGAUUUGGCAAAUCAAUAUCUGUAUAUUUGUUCACUUUUUAUUCUGUCAAUCGCAAACAUGCCAUCUGCUUAAUAAUUUCCCACAGAUCUUUAUUGAUAUAUAUUUUGUUGGGAAAGAAUUUAUCAUUUUAGAUCCAGAAUAUGUAAUCAUAGCUGUCCAUUUAUAUCUGACCAUAAAGAACUUUCCUACUAUAGAAUUUUUGAGAUUUGGUGAGGGCUAACUAGAAGGCUGAAAGGAUAGGAAAGCUGCUGAGUUUAUUUGGUUACACACCAAUGGUCCUGUAAGUCUGUAAUUUCAAAAAUCUACCCGAAAACAAGGGAUUGUAUCCACUGUUAAAUGGAUGAAGUUUUAAGCAUCAGAAAAUCAGUCUGAAUUUUCAUUAUUCCCUAGAAAUUUUCUCAACUUUGUGAGUUUCAUCCAGGUACUUUGCCGUUCUUGAACAUAUUUUCAUGUGGUUUUAUAAUAUUUAUUCAACAUUAUUUUCCAUUAGUUCUCUAAUUUUAAUUGUUGGUAAGCAUUUCGAUGUGUAGCUAUUACAUGGUGCAGAACUGAUUUAUCCACGUUAAUGUCUGAGGAGACCAUGACCCAUUUUAUCUGCUGCGUGGUCAGCCCUGGUAUUCAUGGCAGGUUGUCUGAAUAUUUCUGAUGAAGUCUUUAAGUACAUGUAAUUCUGAAAACACAUUCCCAUUCAGUAAGACUUAUACAGGAUGGUAAGCCUAACAUGGCAAAAGGUUUCUAAAAAAUUCCAUAAACAUUAAGCAUAUUUAUGUCAUAGCAUUAAGUUUGGUCAAUUUGAAACUUACCGUAUUGUAGUAUAAGAGGCAUUUUGUUUGCUUGUGUUUACUUUCCCAG
rnacentral:lncRNA from 10 species